GGAUGUGAGGGUGAUCUGGCUGUGACAUCUGUCAUCCAUUGAUCUCCAGGGUUGAUUCAGCUGAUCUGGCUGGUUAGGCAGGUGUCCCCUUCCUCCCUCAUCGCUCCAUGUGUGUCCCUCCCUCCCGAAGCUGCACACUCGGUCAAAGAGGUUGACCUUCCAGGAGGACAACCUUUCCCCAUAGAAGAGGACCGUUCUUGGUCAGUGGUACACAAGUAGCUGCGCUCCCCUGAUAGAACCUCCAAACAAGCUCUCAAGGUGGGAGCAGAGACAGGAAAACUAUCAAAGGAUGUUGCCAUAGCCCUGAGGCAGCUGGCAAUAG
ensembl:misc_RNA 7SK 7SK RNA